rnacentral:RNase_P_RNA from 1 species
GAAGCAAGCCAGACAGCCGCUGGCCGGCGCAGCAAUGCGUUGGCGGGAGGAAGGUCCGGACUCCACAGAGCGGGGUGACGGUUAACGGCCGUCCGCUGAAAGCCCUUCACGGGGUAUAAGGCGAGGAAUAGGGCCACAGAGACGAGCGUAUUAAGUUACGGUGAAACGCGGUAACCUCCACCUGGUGCAAUUUCAAAUAGGCACGCGAUGAUGUUGCUCGCGGAGCGUGCGGGUAGAAAGCUUGAGCGGCGGAGUAAUCCGUCGCCUAGAGGAAUGGCUGUCAUAGCACCGGCUUGCCGGUGCCGUAACAGAAUCCGGCCUAUCGGCUUGCUUCACUA